rnacentral:rRNA from 1 species
CCUACGGGUGGCAGCAGUGGGGAAUAUUGCACAAUGGGGGAAACCCUGAUGCAGCGACGCCGCGUGAGUGAGGAAGUAUUUCGGUAUGUAAAGCUCUAUCAGCAGGGAAGAAAAUGACGGUACCUGACUAAGAAGCCCCGGCUAACUACGUGCCAGCCGCCGCGGUAAUACGUAGGGGGCAAGCGUUAUCCGGAUUUACUGGGUGUAAGGGGAGCGUAGACGGCUAAUCAAGACAGAAGUGAAAACCCCGGGCUCAACCUUGGGAGUGCUUUUGAAAAUGAGGAGCAGGAGGGCAGGAGAGGAAGGCGGAAUCCCUGGUGUAGCGGGGAAAUGCAUAGAUAUAAGGAGGAACCCAGGUGGCGAAGGGGGCUUACGGGACUGCAACUGCGGUUGAGGCUCAAAAGCGGGGGGAGCAAACAGGAUUAGAUCCCCGUGUAGUC